rnacentral:piRNA from 1 species
UUUUAAAUUUGAGCUGAUCUUGGUUUAG